GUUUCCCAUUUACACCCUACUCACGGGGUUGAUGAUCACUGAGUCUAUGAGACUCACCUCACUUUAUUUUCUUUUGCAGAUAAGUAAUCAGUUUUAGGAUUUGGUUCAGCAUCUUGAGGUUGGCUGCAACCUAGGAACACUUGAAAACUCUAUGGAUAUUGGCGAAAUGAAGUUGUGAUUGGAGCUAGGAAUUGACUCUCCAAUUAGGAAGUUUGUGAGAAAGGAAAGUUGCCGUGGUGGUGUGCCGGAGGAGGUAACUGGUGACCAACAAGUAGAAUUAGCUAGAUAUGCACCCGAAUCGCUAGCGACAUAGUGUCCCAAUAUUGUAAGGUGAGUAGAGGGUGUUUAUUUCAAAAUUUUCAUACUAUAUAUAUAUCAAUAUACAAUUAAGAAACAUGCCAAUUUGCUUUAAAUGCAAUUUAUGGAUAACAUGCGUUGUUAGCUCUGGUAGGUGAUUUUUAAAUGGAUUUGUAAUCAAGUUAUAUUGAAUUUGUGGAUAGCAUGAGUUGGUAGAAUGUUAGGCUUAUGAAUGUCAUGCUUUUAAAGAGGUUUUGUGUAUAUGUAUAUAUAACUAUAUAUGUAAAGUGUUUUAGAAAUUGGAAAACAAGCUUUUUAUCACGAUUUAUGUCAAAACGUGCCUCUUUUGGUUUGUUUGGUGUGCAUUCAUGAACAAAUUACAUAUAUUCACCAUACUGAUUUGAUAUUUAAACUUCAUGCAAAGGCUUUAUAUUAUAAGUCUUACCAACAAGUUUAUCAUGUUACCAUGAAUAGUAUAUUUUUUUGGAAAUAGUUUUAAAAUGAGCUUUUGAGAACCCAAUUUACUUUUAAAUGGUUUUAUCAAAUCAAGAGAUUCGAGAGUAGGCCAAAUGUUACAUCGGGAUAGUGUGACCCUUGUGCACAAGCGAGCUCUAGCUAGAGAACCUUUGGGUCGUCAACGGGCUAUUAGACAUGGUUAGGGCCACAAUCUGUGAUGUAUAUAUGUGGCUAGGCCACAAGUUGUUAUACCUGGUUGUGACCAGUUGAGUUCUCCAAUGUCAACCUACAUCAUAUGGACUGCCAUGGUUGUGGGAAUCCAGUGGAGGAGGACCUAUCGAAUUGUUAUUACAUGGAAGUGGGUCUACAAAUGAUUUACUAUGAUUACUUACUCGAAAGUGAUGUCUCUUUAGGUUUUCAAACACGAAUUCUUUCACAUGGUGAGAAUUAUAAGAUGUUCCAUAGCUCUAUUGUUUAUACAGUGAUUUUAUAUUUAAACUCCUCGAGGAUGAGAUGAUUUACGAACUUGUGUAUGAGUUUUAGUAAUGUUUGGUUUUAUGGGAGCAUGAGUUUUAGUAAUGUUUGGUUUUAUGGGAGCAUGCAUGAUUAUACUGAUUUGCUUUAAGUAAAGUUGUUAAAUGAUUUCAAUGGUGGAAAUCUUUACUUGUAUUGGUUUCGAUACUUGACUUAAACAAUUAUCUUGUAUUAAAAUUUUUUAUUUUACAUGUAAGGCAUAAAUCUUCUUUUUUAGCUAAAUUGUUUGCAUAUAUUCUUAUAUUUUUAAUAUUCAAAUCUUCUGUCCUUAGUUGUAUCCCAUCUAUGUCCUACUCACGGAGCCGAUGAUCACUGAGUCUAUGAGACUCACCCCCUUCAUCUUCCUUUCACAGAUAAGUGAUUAGCUCAAGUGUAUUGCCUCGACAUAUUUUGAUUUGUUGCGACGUAGGUAAUGGCAUCUCUUAGAUUUCCACUCCGAGUCACUCCGCUGCAUAGAGGUUGUUACAGUGUUGUGAAGACAGCUAGACUUAUAAAAAGUAUUAGUUUAUUUGUAAUGUAUUGCUAAAAUCUUAACUUUGAGAAAUGAAUUCUAAGUGUGAUGUUGAAACUUGCCCGAAGUCGAUUAAACUUGGAUAUUGUUAACUAGUUGCUACACCCUAAUUUCAGUUGUUUAUUUGGUUUAAGUAAAUGAUAGUAUUAUUAUUACAAGUUGAUUACAUACGCAAUAGAAUGUUUUGAUUUCAUUAUCUGGAAUCUCAAUUAAGACUCGUUUGGGAUUUAGCAGGUUCACUUGCAAGGCUCGGAUGUUGGUAACGAUCGGGAGGAAGGUUAUUACAAGAAAAUGCACGCUAUGAGAUAUAUGUGUUAAGAUAGUCACAUACAUUAUAGGGUAAGCAUGAUGAUGAUUUAUGGUAAUGUUAUAUGUUCAUGAUGCAAGCUAAGGAUGAGAAUGAUCCUAAGAUUAAGAGAUCUUAUGCUGAUAGUGGGUGAGGCCGAAGUGUCACUCAUGCAACUUUGAUGAUUGUUCAUGCGAGGUAAACUAGAUGAUAGUGAGGACUUUAUCCACUACUCGCUUGAGUGGGGUGGGACCACCAGAUAGAUCAUGGAUGAGGUCGAUGUGCCAUUCACAAGAGCGUGUUAAGAACUCAAAAUAGUGGAAGUUUGACCAAUAUUUGUCGAAAUAAGGUGAACCCACUCACAUACAAAAUGUAAUGUAUAAUAAGUUCGAGGAAUGAUUGAAUAGGCAUUGUUGAUGCUUUAUAUUUAAAUGCAUAAAUUAUGAUUAGAUGAUUAUUGAGAAUGUUAUUCACACUAAAAUGUGGUGACAUUAGCUUGAUCAGAUGAA